rnacentral:rRNA from 1 species
GACGAACCACCCGAACGUUAUUCGGAAUUACUGGGCUUAAAGGGUGCGUAGGCGGCGCAGAAAGUUGGGUGUGAAAUCCCUCGGCUCAACCGAGGAACUGCGCACAAAACUACUGUGCUUGAGGAAGAUAGAGGUAAGCGGAACUUACGGUGGAGCGGUGAAAUGCGUUGAUAUCGUAAGGAACACCUGUGGCGAAAGCGGCUUACUGGGUCUUUUCUGACGCUGAUGCACGAAAGCCAGGGGAGCAAACGGG